GAAUUUGAGUCAGGCCAGGUGUAGUAUUAGCAAAUGUUACCAGGAUGAACUUGCACCUGAUGGUGUGUGUGUGUGGUCUCUUUCACUUUAUUGUGAGAACUUCAUUUUGUAAUGGAUAGAAUUGUAUAGUGGUCAAAAGUGUGUCCCAACCCCCACUUCUGUGCUCUGCACCUCUGUGGGGGUUGGGCAGUAUUCCACUGACCUUGCUCUGCAAUUGCAUCUGGGGUCACCAUAUUUAACAGUCUGUAUAUUCCUAUUUAUUGCCAAUGCACAUUAUACUUAAUAGGCUAUACUGUAAUUAUCCACACUGAUACAUUAUCUUAUAUUUCAGGUUGUCUCCCAUUACCCUUCACAGACUGUUGCCAAGGUAUGUUGUCCAGAAGAAGCCUCAAUAGUGAACAGCAUUAAUAAGAAGAAAUGGACAACAGCUGCAAAGUUAAUGUUGAAACAUAAACACCUAGCUGAGGAAAUCAAGGUGCACAUCCUGGAGCUAAUAACCAACGAAUGCAAACGCAUUUCUAAUCCGACCAACGGUUUCAUCCUGUGGAAGUCAUCUCCAGAUGAUCUGAAAGCCUUUUCAUUUACAAGCUUAGAGGCAGACCUUAAAGGUUUUUCACCAUUCCUCUUCUCAGUUCUAACAACUGUCAGCAACCACUCUCAAGCUGCAACUUGUGCAGCAGCUUCCAUUGCCUUGAGAGGGAGACAACCACGCCUGUCAGCCUUUGCAUACUACCUAGGUAGUAUUUUGCAUUAUGGCGGGGCAAAAAAAGCUGUGUUUGAAAGGCUGAACAAAAUGGCAAUAACAACUACUCACCACAAUUCUAUAGAGAAGCAGAAGGAGUUGGCGCUCCUAUGUGGGGGCUCUCUAAAAAUGUUAAAGGUACAGAAUGAAGAUUUUCUGAACUCUGAAGCGAACUCUUUGUUGGUCAGAGAGUGGACACCAGCGAAGACCAAAGAACAAGUGAUCCGAAGGGGCCACUAAACCCAGUUGGUGAACACAUGGAUGAGCUUCUCAUGUCAGCAGAUGAAAUGGCUCAAAGCGUACUGCCUUUCAGCAGUUUAAGUAACUCUGAAGCAGCAGAGCUGGGCUUGAGCUCCUCCACUUUUCCAAUCACACACCCCACUCCUCCACCAACAUAUUCUAUUAUAUUUGACAAUUUGGACUUUUUCAUGCGUGUACAUCAUCAGUCCAGCCACCACAACAACAAAUCCAUACACUGGAUUCACCAUAUUGCAGUCAAAGAUAGGAUCCAAACAUAUCACCUUGACAAUGCCAAACCAGACCAUGACAUCCGUCAAUACUACCUUGGCAACUCACUCCCCGGACUAGAAACCCAGGAUUACAUGCGGCGUGAGUUUAUUGUUCUUGGGAGCCGUAUCCUUACGCAGUACCUGGCUGUUUUUAAACCAUUCAAGCCAUUAGUGGUUCACCACAUACCACAUCAGUAUACAGAUGACAUGGCUAUGCGCUCCACAGAUGCAAGUUAUGAGUUAAAUCUGCAAAAAAAAAAAAACCUAAAUACACAUACUUUCAACUCAAACAUUACUGCAAUGUCAUCUUUUUUCUUUAUUCUCAAAGUACCCUCUGGGACUACUCUUCAAAAAUGAAAACAAAACGUCUGAUUUGGUGGACACACUUCGCCACUUUCAGAAAGAGUAUGUGCCCAAGGGACCGGACGGGUUGUCAAGUGUUUUAGUAGGAGGUGACCGGCUGACUGAGGGGAACUGCAGAAACAUACAGUGGGCCUUCUCAGAUGGUGCUACAAAGGAAGACCGACUGGAAGGUCUCAUCUUUAAGUUUGAGGACUGGCAUGCCAUCAGAAACCUCUUUGAAAUCUAUCAUCGGAUUUUCUAUGAUGGUGCAUCCUCAAAAGACCAUGGCACACUUCUUGCCAACAUGACGAAGUUGAGUUGUUUCACAAAAAUCCAGUUAACAUGAAUUAACUGGAUAGUUCAUGAAUUGGGUUGUUAUGGGAUGGGGAACACAGUCCUGCUAUCAUGAACGCAGCCCUGCUGUUCUCCGAGGUGCAGCAAUGCGAAACAAGGUCCCCAUGCAGCUUAUAAUGCGUACAAGGAAUUUGUGCGUAAGGACACAACUGCACUCUUCCUGGCUGCUGCAAUGGAACACUUUGGGUUGCAGGAUGUCACAGAAAUUCCAGAUGGGUUUGUCCCAGUGGAUGUCAGCGAGGGAUUGCCACAACUGAGGAGAGACUGGCUGCAUGAGAAGGUGGGACAGGUUGUGGACACCUUCGUAAUGAUGACGGGCAUUACAGAAGCUGCGAGCCAGAGGCAGGCUUCGACACAGCCGCAGCAGUUUCAGUGUCGUGCGGACGGGUGUGGCAAUAUGUACAUAUACAGCAAGGCAAGGGUAACCCAUGAGUACAAGAUACACAAUCUUGUUGCUCCAUUGGACCCUACUCCACAACAUACAAGUCCAGCAAACGAAGACCAUGAAAAAAAACCACACAGAAGCUAGACUUGGCUUUGGAUUCUUCCUGCUUAACAUGCAGGACGGUGUAAGAGAAGGUGAUGGUGAUAGGAUAAUGAGACUGUAUAAAGUUGCCCUGCUUUUUUAUAAAGCAUAUGGACACAGCCAUUAUGCCUACAGCACCUUUCUUCUUACACUGCAGGUAAAUCUCACUCUGUCCCCACGCAUGGCACACAGUGUCAUAUGGAACCGGUUUUGGAAUGGUCGAGGGGGAAAGGGGAAAAAUAUUCCUCUCGACCUCCAUCUGGAGCACCUUAACAAUUUUCUGAAAUCCUUCAUGAGAGGCUUGGGAUCAAACCUGUCUGAACGGUCAGCAGCCAGGAUCAGUCAGUCCAUUGGCACCCUAAUGGACAAAACGGACUCGGAAAUGGAGCGGACAAGGCCGACUGGCAUGCAUCAUGUAGCCCGAGAACAGGAGGACAUUUUAACCCUGGUCGAAGUUUUCAGAGAGUCUCACCUUUUUCAACAUCACCCAGGCAGACAGUUUACAGCUUUCCCAAAUUUCCAAAAAAACCUAUUGGGAAAGCUAAAUGACCUGGAAUUACGGAAUUGGAUGAAGUCCAAACUGAUGGAGUGGAGGAAUGUACCCAUUUGAUUAGUGAUGUAUGUAAAAAUGUAAAUGGUGAUGGCAUCACAUUUGUAAAUACUGUGGCAUUGUAAAUAAUUGUUUUUUUAAAUCUUUUUUAAUAUAAGUGUCUUAUUGUCAACAUUCUUGAAACCAUUAUUUUUGUGUGUGUUUUCUCAUUGGUUAUAUGUUC